UAUAGAAUAGAGAAUAAAUCUUGACCGUGUGAUUAAGUGGAUCUAGCGGUUCCAAUUAAUUCAGAUCACCAAUAUUUUAAUCGAAUAACAUUACUAAAAAACCAUUAAAAAAUAAGAAAGGGGUAAAUGAGAGAUUUACCCAUAAGGUAAAUCUGGAAAGAUCCGAAGCAAAUCGAAAAUCACUCCCCCACUUCCUAUUCGGAAGAAACUGAAUCGAUUAGGGCUCAGAGAUUCCAUCGCCGCAAAAUUUCUGUACUUUAUCCAAGAAGAUUGAAGAAUAACUGGUUUUUGGGUUUCUCUUCGAAAAAUUCUUGUCCAAAUUCGAAUAGAGCAACUCUUGAUUUUUUCGAAGAAGAUUGAAGGACGACCAUCCGGUGAUCGCAGAAGACCGAAGAACCACGAAAUUUUCACACAGGGCUGAAGAACGUCGAUCUUACUGUGUAAAUGAGAUACCGUAGAUACAAACAAGUGUUUUGAAAGUUUAUUGCUGUGAAAAACAUUCCGGGAGUCAAGUCAUGAAGAAGUAGAUGUGAGUUGCAAAAGCAGUUGUUCAUCAUAUCUAAUUUCAAGCCAAGAUGACAUUUCUCUGGCUCAUUUUCUCUGGCUCCUUGCACUUCAACAUGGACACCAAACAACAAAGGGGAUUUUUGUUGCUGCAGUUUAAUGGCUCGAUUUUUUUUCUUUAUUUAGUUCAAUAUUACAAUUGAUGUAUUCGUUUGAUUCUGUAACACCAAUAUUCAUUGAGAAAUUGUUAUUCGUUCAUUCAAAAA